UGCAUUCGUCCUAUAAGUAGACCACCUAGAAGCCCUCCUCCUAAGAGUCAAAGGGAGAGCUUCUAUGCCUCUCUCCAAGUGACCAUUCUGUAUCUGAAUCGGCUAGAGUUGCAAGUUGCCGGUAGAAAAUAACAAUCAACAUCUCUUCCUCCAAUGUCGCCACCAAACACCUACCAAUGGUUGAAGGGGCUUUUGAAUGGUGAUCCUCCUACGAUUAGCAGUGUGAAUCCUCCCCCAAAAACUACAUUCACAAAAUGGGCAUUUCAAUCUGUAUCCAAUGCUAUGCCACCAACAAUUUCUAGUUGGAAUAAACACCAAAACACUACUUCAGGUGCUACAGAUUCAAUAUAUCAAACUAAAACGGAGUCCAACCCACCGCCAACAAUUACUCAGUUUAAUCCCCACUAUACUUCUGGUAAUCCGUAUACCAAAAUUCUGACGGAAACCACUGCCAAACCACCGUCGAUGACAUCUUGGAAUGCAAGAGAACGCACUUCAGGUGUGAUCCACUGCUUCAUUCAGAAGUGAUACGUGUUCUGUACACAUGAGCAGCCACCCCCCAAAAAUCCAUUCGUGUCACAAUCGAUAUCCACUACACCCCCUCCCCUGUCACACUCCCUCUCCGAUAUUCAACCUUUGCUUGCCCCAAUUGAUCGGCGGUGGCAAAGUCAUCGAAAACUCCACAGUUUUAGACGGGCGUUGAAGAAGAAGUCCACAAUUCAAGGUGGGAAGAAGAAGACGACAGACCAUUGUUACCAUACCCAGCCACCUAUAUCUCUACCGUUGGUGCCUAACAGAAGCCCUAAAAUCGAUUUCAGUUUCUCGCGUCUCCUCUUUGUUGCAUAACGUUUCAGCUUUUCAGGGAAACAACAUCGAUGAUGCAAGCGGAUGUAACUCCAUGUCGUACAAAACACUGGAGGAAACAGAGUAAAGUUGGUAUUCUAUUCAGCUUAUUCGAGAAGAAGCCCGGAAGUCAACACUAUUAUCAACGAUAUCAAGAUGUUCAACUUGAAAAAAUUGGGUUUUAGAAACUGUUACUACGUGGAAGGAAAGUGCAAUGAGGUGUUUGUGGAAAUGGCCAAAAAGAAGCCGUUAACUUUAUUGGGAGCAUUGACUUGGAUUUUCAUUAGCCAAGAAACCAUAAGUGUACACCUACAGUUUCUGAAAUGCAGAGGGUCAUGGUUAUGUGGAAUUCUUGAUGACUUAGAUCAGAGAAAUGCCUAUGAAUACCUAAAAGGGAUGGUAAACUGUCACAUAAUGCAUCUGUUUGAUAUUCACAACCAAUAUUGUGCCAUAUUUGUUGAUGACACAUCAGGAAGUGAGGAGAAUUAUGUCCGUGUUGAUGUUAUGUUUAUCUGUGCUUCUAAAUUUUGUUUAUUUUUUUUCUUAUUUUUGAACACAUCAUCUUUGGAAUAUUAACAGACUGCAAGAAGUAGGCGAAUGAGGUGUAGACUCCCAAGAUAAAAGAGAGGGUUCGGCAAAAGAAAGAUCAGGCACUCUAUGGGUUUGGGUUUGCUGAAGGUGAUAAAGAGGUCGUAUGGCUUUACAUUUUUUAUUGACAUCGUUGAUCUAUGUAGAAUGUAGAUUCAUAGAUCUAUUUCUUUUCUCAGCUUAGAUUAUUGAUACUUGAGUCCAUUUUUCUUAAUGGUGCUAACUACAUGGCGUUUCAAUGCCUCCAAAAUUUGAGUCACGAUUACGUAGAUACGAGCCUGUUAAGGUGAACCUAUGCUUGAUUCGUAUAACAAAGGUGAAAUACGUUGUGAACAACCAAACAAUACAUUCUAUACCUUCAUUUGAAGUCUACUACUUCAAAAACAAAUUUCACAACUUGCAAGUUAAUUAAGACUCACAUGAAAAAAUUUGUUAUCAGUUCAGAAACAAUGCAAUCAAGGGUGUUGAUCGUAGAGUAAGAGCCUUAAACUAUAUCUUUCACAAAAAAACAAAAGACGUCAAUAUAAAGUCAAACUCUUCCUACAAGGCGAUCAAGUGGAAAUUAGACAUGCACACAAAACCGGUUUGGGCUAUAGGAUCCGAUCCGAUCCGAAAACCGGAUUUGGUCAAAACCGGUUUUGACCGAAUCGGAUCGGAUUGAACCGGCCACCGGAUCGAGACUUCUGACAGCAAAUCAGAUUAUACCCCGGAUCGAGAACCGGAUUUUGUUGAAACCAGAUCCAAAACUGGUUUGAAACCGGAUUUUUUGUUAUCGUUAAAAAAUGGGAAAUUUUGAAAUUUUUUUUUACUAGCCGUUAGAACUUAAAAAAACGGCUACUUUGACUUUUUUUUUUUUUUGACUUUUUGGCACUUCUAAACACCUAUAUAUACCUUUCAUUUACUACAUUUCAAUUUUACACAAAAAAUUUACUACUUAUUUUCAUAAUACUCAAAAAAAUGAGCUCGAGAAAUUCAACCGCGGGUCAAGAUUCGGAUGUAAUGGUGGUUAAAAUCAUACCAACCACUCGGAGUAAAGAAGUGUGGGAACAUUACGAUUUGUGUUUGUUGUCGAACGGGAAGGAAAAAGUGAGAUGCAAGAAGUGCGGAAUGUUUUUGGGAAAAGAUGGCAAUAGCACAUUAAGAAGUCAUACAACAAAAACUUGUCCGGCUGUAAAAGGUCAAAGUGAUCCAAGUUAACCAAAUAUUACUCCCGACGGGUCGAUCUUCAUUUACAACAAUGAUGACCUUCGUGAAAGCUUUUGCAAGUUCGUGAUUCAAGGCUAUCCUUUCAACCACUUCGACAACCCGCGAUUAACAAGGAUUUUGCGGGAAAAAAUGCAACCGCAAUACCGACAAGUAAGUCGUACUUCUCUUAGACGUGAUGCUUUAAAGUAUUGGGAUAUAGCCAAAAAAGAUAUGCAAUUGAGAUUUUUAAAUAUAAAAACUGGUGUUUCUUUAACCUGUGACGUUUGGUCCUCCGCCGGUAGUUGUCCCACAAGCUAUCUUUGUGUCACGACACAUUGGAUAGAUCCCUCUACUUGGGUAAUGAACAAACGAGUUAUUGCUUUUGAACUUUUUGCGCAUCCUCAUACGGGGGCAAGAUUAUUUGCAAUUUUAGUAAGCGUUAUAGAGACUUGUAAUUUACGCGACAAAAUCUCCUCUAUUUCGUUUGACAAUGCAAGUAACAACACCACCGAGGCAAAAAGAUUAAUUGCAAAAUAUAAACCUAUUUUGGAUGGCUCGUUUUUUCAUACUAUAUGUGUUUGUCACAUUAUUAAUCUUGCGGUACAAGAUGGUUUAAAAAUGAUAGAUUCGACGAUUGAAAAAUUCAAAACUGUGUUAACUAGAGUUUUUGGAAAAAUAAAGCUACAAUGGAAAAAUAUCGAAAGUUUGCCAUUUCCAUUAACGUAACUCCAUAUAGUCCUCAUUGGGAUUGUGACACUAGAUGGAGUUCAACAUGCAUGAUGUUUGAAAGUUUGACACGUCAAAGAAUCGCUUUGCAAUUAUUUUACGACACAAUUUCAAAAGGAAAAAACCCGGUUUCGGAUUAUAAUUGGGAUUUGAUGGAAGAGUUUGUGGAAAUGUUAAAAGUUUUUAAACAAUCAACCACUUUUCUAUCGGGUGUGUAUUACCCUACAAGUCCGUUGUUACUAAAUGAAUUAUGGUUGAUGUCCGCACAAUUGAAACAUUUUGAACAAAGAAGUGAAAUAUUUGUUUUGGUUACGAGACCAAUGAGACAAAAACUAGUCAAAUAUUUCAAAGAAAUGUCACCACUUUUUACUUGCGCCGCGACAUUAAACCCAUGAAUCAAUGUUACGGGUGUAGAGGCUUUGAUUACCAAAAUUUCUAUGUCUUUAAAUUUGCACAAAGAUAACUCAAACUACAUCCGUAACCAAAUAAACAUUUUUAAUGAUACUUUUACUAAUUUGUUUGACAUUUACUCUACAAAAUAUGACAAUAUGUCAAACACUUUUGCAAGUGUAACCGACUCUACUAGCGGUGUAUCGGGUAGUGGUGGGGGUCGAACGGAUUUUCAUAUCGACCUUUAUAACUACCUUUUGGAGGAGCAAAACAAAAGAGAACGCACAUUAAAGCCUAGUAGCGAACUUGGAAUUUAUAUGGGUUCAAACUUUUUAAAAUUCAUGAGUGCAUCACAAUUUAAAAUUUUGGAUCUUUUGGCUUGGUGGAGAGAAAAGGAAGCACAAUUUCCUAUUCUCUCUAUCAUGGCCCGUGAUUUACUAACCGUCCAAGCUUCCACGGUAGCUUCGGAAUCCGCUUUUUCUUUUAGUGGAAGAGUUUUAUCAAAGUUGAGGACGAAUCUUACCCCGGUUGCGGUAGAGGUUUGCGUUUGCUUGAAGGAUUACUUAGAUUCUGUGGAACAUAUAUAACACUUGGCAUCACUAGAAGGCCCACUAUCACAAAAUGUUGAACCGAAGAUCAUGGAUGAAGAAUAUGCACAAGGCUUAUCAACACCUCCAGAAGACGAAGACGAUGACGAUGAAGUCGAAGAUGAAGACGGGGAUGAAGAAUAUGGCAUUGAUGAGGCCCCUAGUUACUUGCGUGGCGGUUGAAGAAUAAUUAAAUGAAGGUGACAUGUAGUGGAAGACCACAAAAUCUAUUUCCAUUUGGCUAAAUGUUAUAACGCCACUUUAUUAUUAUUAUUAUUUAACUAGUUUAAAAACUCUUUCUAAUUCGACGUUUGAUGUAUGUUUUAACUAUUUUAAUGUACCCAUGUUGCAUUUUGUGUUA